rnacentral:rRNA from 1 species
CUGCAGCCCGAGUGGUGAUCGAUUUUAUUGAGCCUAAAGCGUCCGUAGCCGGACUAGUAAACCCUUGGGUAAAUUGGGCAGCUUAACUGUCCGAAUUCCGAGGGGACUGCUAGUCUUGGGACCGGGAGAGGUCAGAGGUACUCAAGGGGUAGGGGCUAAAUCCUGUAAUCCUUUGGGGACCACCAGUGGCGAAGGCGUCUGACUAGAACGGAUCCGACGGUAAGGGACGAAACCCUGGGGCGCGAACCGGAUUAGAUACCCGCGUAGUCC